UCUUGAUCCUCAGGUCACGAGUCAAGUCCUAUGUUGGGUGUAGAGCCUUCUUAAAUAUAUAUAUAUAAAUACUACUGCCUAACUCUAAAGCUCUUUACUACUAUGCUAUACCACAUUUAACACUAGUUAAGGGCUCAUUUCCUGCCAGCAAAGGGAUUGGUAAGGAGAUAAUUAGAAUAUAACCUACUGGUAUAUUUUGUAAAGUUUCCCUGAGUAGAAUUUGAUUAAUCAUUUCCAAACCUUAGGAGAACAAACAAAAGAAACUUUUAAAUAAAAGCAAGGGAGAGAUGGUUUUGUAACACAGUUGCAUGAGGAUAAUGAAACACUUGGAUGAAUUUUUACUGGGGUCGUGAUUCCCCAGAGAAACCUUCAAGGAAAGAAUUUACCACGUUCAUCAUGGAUGGUUCUUUGUGCCAUCGUGGAGAGCUUUUGAUCCAGAUCAGAGGGCACCUGGCUGCUCCCACCAAUGCGGGAAUCAAGGAGGAAGAAUGCCCCCAUCCUCUGCAUUGGACCCACUUGACAUCAGCUGUUCAGAGCUGCGGUGCUUGCAGAAUUAAGGUCACACUGAAUGAGCGUGAUUAUUGUUCAUCAUUAAAUGGUAAAGGAUCUAAGACUCACAGGAGUUCUAUAACUCUCCCAAGAUUAUGAUAUAGUAUUUACGAGUGAUUACUCUGCACCAGUAUUAAACUAAGUGCACUACAACAAUCCAAUGAAGAAAUGACUUAUUAUUCCCAUUUUUCAGAGAUGGAAAUUAAGUCUAACAGAAAAUAAAUUAUUGCUUCCUCAAGA